ensembl:ncRNA R13.9 ncRNA
ACCUGAAAUUGAAGAUCACUGGCACGCUGCCAACUCUGGACAAACUCACUUUCAUUCCAUUAUUAUGUAAUUGAAUAAUUCGAGUUCUUUCUUCCAUCGAUAACGGUCGACCAGGACAAUAAGGUCGACCAUAGAGAUUUGUCCCU